GGUGGAUUAGUGGCGAACGGGUGAGUAMCACGUGGGCAAUCUGCCCUGCACUCUGGGACAAGCCCUGGAAACGGGGUCUAAUACCGGAUAUCACUCUUGCAGGCAUCUGUGAGGGUCGAAAGCUCCGGCGGUGCAGGAUGAGCCCGCGGCCUAUCAGCUUGUUGGUGAGGUAAUGGCUCACCAAGGCGACGACGGGUAGCCGGCCUGAGAGGGCGACCGGCCAMACUGGGACUGAGACACGGCCCAGACUMMUACGGGAGGCAGCAGUGGGGAAUAUUGCACAAUGGGCGAAAGCCUGAUGCAGCGACGCCGCGUGAGGGAUGACGGCCUUCGGGUUGUAAACCUCUUUCAGCAGGGAAGAAGCGAAAGUGACGGUACCUGCAGAAGAAGCGCCGGCUAACUACGUGCCAGCAGCCGCGGUAAUACGUAGGGCGCAAGCGUUGUCCGGAAUUAUUGGGCGUAAAGAGCUCGUAGGCGGCUUGUCACGUCGGGUGUGAAAGCCCGGGGCUUAACCCCGGGUCUGCAUUCGAUACGGGCUAGCUAGAGUGUGGUAGGGGAGAUCGGAAUUCCUGGUGUAGCGGUGAAAUGCGCAGAUAUCAGGAGGAACACCGGUGGCGAAGGCGGAUCUCUGGGCCAUUACUGACGCUGAGGAGCGAAAGCGUGGGGAGCGAACAGGAUUAGAUACCCUGGUAGUCCACGCCGUAAACGGUGGGAACUAGGUGUUGGCGACAUUCCACGUCGUCGGUGCCGCAGCUAACGCAUUAAGUUCCCCGCCUGGGGAGUACGGCCGCAAGGCUAAAACUCAAAGGAAUUGACGGGGGCCCGCA
rnacentral:rRNA from 1 species